UAGGAAGAAAAGAAAACAAAAGAACAAAAGAGGGAGCUGUGGUUUUUUGAGAGCAAACGUAAGAGAGGGAGAAGGAAGAAGAAGAAGAGAAAAGAGGGGAAAAGAAGGGAAAGGGAAGAGAUUGAGAAGAAAUAACUUUAAAGGUUCUCCUAACGAUCCUCAAUAGGAUUUUCGGGUCUUUCGUCUGACGUUCCUUUAGUUCUAUAUUUUCCGGGUUCUUAGUUUCUGAUAGCAGUUGGACUUUGUUGAGUGUUUCUGCUUCUUCAGUUUUGGGUCGGUAUGCCUUGCUUAUUGUUCAAGGUUGUUUUGAUUUGAAGUCUUAGACGCUCCACUAUUACUCUGUUUUAAUUAAGUUUGGAUUUUGACAAUGUAAUGAGUAUUAUGAAUUAUUAUUUUGUUUUAAUUACUGAUGAAGAGUUUUGACUAUCCUUUGAUUUCAUCAGCUUUGAGUAAUAUAAUAUUUCUGAAGAUUAUGAAA